AUUGAACGCUGGCGGCAGGCCUAACACAUGCAAGUCGAGCGGAUGAAGAGAGCUUGCUCUCUGAUUUAGCGGCGGACGGGUGAGUAAUGCCUAGGAAUCUGCCUGGUAGUGGGGGAUAACGUUCCGAAAGGAACGCUAAUACCGCAUACGUCCUACGGGAGAAAGCAGGGGACCUUCGGGCCUUGCGCUAUCAGAUGAGCCUAGGUCGGAUUAGCUAGUUGGUGAGGUAAUGGCUCACCAAGGCUACGAUCCGUAACUGGUCUGAGAGGAUGAUCAGUCACACUGGAACUGAGACACGGUCCAGACUCCUACGGGAGGCAGCAGUGGGGAAUAUUGGGCAAUGGGCGAAAGCCUGAUCCAGCCAUGCCGCGUGUGUGAAGAAGGUCUUCGGAUUGUAAAGCACUUUAAGUUGGGAGGAAGGGCAGUAAGUUAAUACCUUGCUGUUUUGACGUUACCGACAGAAUAAGCACCGGCUAACUUCGUGCCAGCAGCCGCCGUAAUAC
rnacentral:rRNA from 1 species